rnacentral:rRNA from 1 species
CGACAGAUAAGGAGCUUGCUCCUUUGAAGUUAGCGGCGGACGGGUGAGUAACACGUGGGUAACCUACCUAUAAGACUGGGAUAACUUCGGGAAACCGGAGCUAAUACCGGAUAACAUUUAGAACCGCAUGGUUCUAAAGUGAAAGAUGGUUUUGCUAUCACUUAUAGAUGGACCCGCGCCGUAUUAGCUAGUUGGUAAGGUAACGGCUUACCAAGGCGACGAUACGUAGCCGACCUGAGAGGGUGAUCGGCCACACUGGAACUGAGACACGGUCCAGACUCCUACGGGAGGCAGCAGUAGGGAAUCUUCCGCAAUGGGCGAAAGCCUGACGGAGCAACGCCGCGUGAGUGAUGAAGGGUUUCGGCUCGUAAAACUCUGUUAUUAGGGAAGAACAAAUGUGUAAGUAACUGUGCACAUCUUGACGGUACCUAAUCAGAAAGCCACGGCUAACUACGUGCCAGCAGCCGCGGUAAUACGUAGGUGGCAAGCGUUAUCCGGAAUUAUUGGGCGUAAAGCGCGCGUAGGCGGUUUCUUAAGUCUGAUGUGAAAGCCCACGGCUCAACCGUGGAGGGUCAUUGGAAACUGGGAAACUUGAGUGCAGAAGAGGAAAGUGGAAUUCCAUGUGUAGCGGUGAAAUGCGCAGAGAUAUGGAGGAACACCAGUGGCGAAGGCGACUUUCUGGUCUGUAACUGACGCUGAUGUGCGAAAGCGUGGGGAUCAAACAGGAUUAGAUACCCUGGUAGUCCACGCCGUAAACGAUGAGUGCUAAGUGUUAGGGGGUUUCCGCCCCUUAGUGCUGCAGCUAACGCAUUAAGCACUCCGCCUGGGGAGUACGACCGCAAGGUUGAAACUCAAAGGAAUUGACGGGGACCCGCACAAGCGGUGGAGCAUGUGGUUUAAUUCGAAGCAACGCGAAGAACCUUACCAAAUCUUGACAUCCUUUGAAAACUCUAGAGAUAGAGCCUUCCCCUUCGGGGGACAAAGUGACAGGUGGUGCAUGGUUGUCGUCAGCUCGUGUCGUGAAAUGUUGGGUUAAGUCCCGCAACGAGCGCAACCCUUAAGCUUAGUUGCCAUCAUUAAGUUGGGCACUCUAGGUUGACUGCCGGUGACAAACCGGAGGAAAGGUGGGGAUGACGUCAAAUCAUCAUGCCCCUUAUGAUUUGGGC